UUCGGCCUGUAACCAAAUCACUUCACACGCACCACCUUAAAAAUAACACUUAAAAAAGGUUAACAAAGAGCCCGCGAAUCACUCCUCCUAUAAAAGAGUUAAAAGGAGUACCCAAAAGAGAGGUCAAAGAAGAGUACCCAAAAGAGAGGUCAAAGAAGAGUACCCAAAAGAGAGGUCAAAGAAGAGUACCCAAAAGAGAGGUCAAAGAAGAGUACCCAAAAGAGAGGUCAAAGAAGAGUACCCAAAAGAGAGGUCAAAGAAGAGUACCCAAAAGAGAGGUCAAAGAAGAGUACCCAAAAGAGAGGUCAAAGAAGAGUACCCAAAAGAGAGGUCAAAGAAGAGUACCCAAAAGAGAGGUCAAAGAAGAGUACCCAAAAGAGAGGUCAAAGAAGAGUACCCAAAAGAGAGGUCAA